GACAGAGGAUGCAAGCGUUAUCCGGAAUGAUUGGGCGUAAAGCGUGCGCAGGCGGUUUGUUAAGACAGAUGUGAAAUCCCCGGGCUUAACCUGGGAACUGCAUUUGUGACUGGCAAGCUAGAGUAUGGCAGAGGGGGGUAGAAUUCCACGUGUAGCAGUGAAAUGCGUAGAGAUGUGGAGGAAUACCGAUGGCGAAGGCAGCCCCCUGGGCCAAUACUGACGCUCAUGCACGAAAGCGUGGGGAGCAAACAGG
rnacentral:rRNA from 1 species